rnacentral:lncRNA from 1 species
AAAGGCACCCAAAACAUCCACUGAGUGAGAAUCGAGCCACCGGAUAGCAGUAAAACGCUAGGUUAAACCACCAGAAACCCUAGAAGCCGACAGGUCACCGAAAAAUCACCCAAAAAUCAUCGUAAAACCUCCCAAAACGUUCGAGUGGAGAAGAUAUACUCAGAUAUCACGAAGAAAGUCUCAGAAAAGCAUCCGAUUUAGAUCGGAAUCGUCAUUGACCAUAAGGUCUCAGAAACACCCCCAAACAAUCUUAAAAGAGACUUCAACCAAAACAACGAGAUGCAGAAAAACAUAGUCGGAUCGUCGUCUAGGCUCUGAUACUAUGUAAAUGUUGAGAUUAAAUCGAAAAAUCAUGGAAAAUGUAGAGAGAGAAUCUAGAGAGAAGGAGGAGCGUUUGAGAUCUCUCUAGAAGAGAGAGAGAGAGUUUAUUAAUCAGAAUGAUGAAAAUGAAAUCAAGUCCGUGAAAUAUCUACUCCUAUACUAUAUACAACUUACACACUAUCGGGUCGGGUCGGGUGAUCC